rnacentral:lncRNA from 1 species
GGGACCAGAAGUCAGAAGGACGCGACAAGUGUGUGCUUUCACGGGGAGAUCUCAGGAGCUCAGAAGAUUCACAAGCAUCACCCAAGGCCAGUGGAUAGAAAGAAUUUGAGAUCUGUGGAGAACAGAUCUUGUAAAUAUCUUGCUAGUUCAGUUAUGAUUUGAUUGUGAUGCUCUCCAUCCACCUUUCAUCGUCAGCCUGGGUUUGGUGUGACCUUCGUUACAAAAUCGCUCCACCAUUGGAAUCCCAGGAACGCAUUUUCCAAGCACUGGAGGAGACACCGAAUGGGCUAGCUAGGUACGGAGGAUUCCAGAAAUUUACCCCACUGUGGUGUUCAAACAGCAGAAGAAGUUAGGAGUUAAAUUGUGUCCACAAAAAAACAGGUGACAGUCCUGCUCCCUACACUCCUGAAUGUGGGUUUAAGUGGAAAUGGGGUCUUCCCUGCUGUAAGGACGGUGUCAGACGAGGUUGUGCUGCACUAGGAUGGACCUUUAAUCCAGUGUGACAGGUGUCCUGUGGGAGGAGGAAGAGACACAGGGACAGGCACAGGGCUCUCCCUGGAGCAAAGUGCCCUCAAAGCAAGGAGCGCCACCGAUUGCCAGCAAAGCUGAGCGAGACACCAGGAACAGAUUCAGCCUCUGAGCCCCAAGAUGGACCCAGCUCUGUCACACCUUGAGCUUCUGACCUCUGUCAUCAGGUCAUUGUUUCUGUGUUUCAGGCCACUCAGUCUGUGGACCUAUAACGGCAGCCCAGGGAGAGAGAUCAGAGUUGGACUCCACGUGAGCAUGAGAACCUCGUUCCCUCUCCUCACCCCCACCUGCCUCCACCCACUCAAGAGCUGGUACCCACACUCCUCUAGGGAGAUGGGCCCACAAAGCAAGUGCCCCCUUGAGAAAGAGCUGGAGCACCUAGGUUUAGAGAACUAGAUAAAAAUGGAGCCCCACGCAGGUGGCCCAGCAGGCACAGCGUGGUCAGGCAGCCCGGUCACAGGUUUCUCUUACCAGCACUUCAAUACGAAUGCACAAGGCCUGCAGCCCGACUUUCAAAAUCAACAUUGGCACCAAGGAAAAUAAUCCUUUGGGUUUCGUAUGUGAGGGAAAUUUCUCUGCUCACAACAAUAGAAAAGAAAGAAUGUGGGACUGGGUGAUACCUGUUUCCCACAGCCAUUCCGACUCUCCACUGUUCUGCCGUAAAGGACAAUUAGGCCCAUUGUGGCCAUGUGGUCCCUGAAUGGCCACAGGUCUGUGGCAUUUGUAAAAGGAGACUCACUAUGGAGCACAAACUGGGUCUUCUUUAGGUUUCCUAUUAAUUAGCUGGCUCUUAUCUGAGCAGUGCUAUUUCCGCCUGCUCCCAGGAGAAGACCCUGU